ACUACACGGAGAAUAAAGUCGACUAGUUGAUUCUAUUAUUUCAGCUGGUCAUGUCAAAUGUACGACUGUAUUUGAUUUUAAAUCCAUAUGUUUUUAAAACAACAAUUUAAACAGUUGAUUUAUUUCAACUAUCCUGAUGUUAAACUAAAUUUGAUUUUCAGUGUGCAAGUGUGUAUAGUGUUCAUCGUUCAUCCGAGGAAAAAAGAAAAAAUUCAACGGCCAAACGCGGAAGACUAUCAGGAUUAACAGCAACGGAUCUUCGGCAACACCAGAUUGGUACGAAUACCGCCGACGUAGAACAAUUUUUGGACCGCCAGUCCCAGCAAUAGUACCCGUAUAAGAUACUAGGUUCUGGCGGACUUUGCCAGCAAGCACCGUUUACGGGAUCAAGCUGGGAGCUCAUGAGCAGUAAGGACAAAAAGGAGGAUGCGUUUUCAGUGUCGAGAGGUUGGCAGAAAAAAAAACCGACGGAACAGAAACCGCGAAAAGUAAGGAGAUGUCCGGUAGAAGCGUUCAUCAGUAUCUUGCAAAACAUCAGUAAAGCAGGUGGCGAUAUUAUUACCAUUGUGAAUUUGUGUUAUUUAUUGUGAAAUUUUGAGCAUGAAAAAAAUCAAGUUUAAAUAAAAUGUCAAUAAAAUCAAUUUGAAAAAUUUUAA